rnacentral:rRNA from 1 species
GACGAAGGUGGCGAGCGUUGUUCGGUGUCACUGGGCUUAAAGCGUGUGUAGGCGGAAAGGUAAGCGUCUUGUGAAAUCCCUCGGCUUAACCGAGGAAUGGCUGGACGUACUGCUUUUCUUGAGGCAAGUAGGGGUGCAUGGAACUCUUGGUGGAGCGGUGGAAUGCGUAGAUAUCAAGAGGAACGCCAGUGGUGAAGACGGUGCACUGGGCUUGUCCUGACGCUGAGACACGAAAGCGUGGGGAGCGAACGGGAUUAGAUACCCGUGUA